UGGGAAUCCGCAGAGGAAAUUAAUGAAGGCU
rnacentral:piRNA from 1 species